CGGGGACGGGGUGGGUUAAUGUCGUAGGGAAACGUCGCCUGAGGGAGGGGGAUAACUACGGGAAACGGUAGCUAAUACCGCAUAACGUCGCAAGACCAAAGAGGGGGACCUUCGGGCCUCUUGCCAUCGGAUGUGCCCAGAUGGGAUUAGCUAGUAGGUGGGGUAACGGCUCACCUAGGCGACGAUCCCUAGCUGGUCUGAGAGGAUGACCAGCCACACUGGAACUGAGACACGGUCCAG
rnacentral:rRNA from 1 species